rnacentral:rRNA from 1 species
CCUACGGGAGGCAGCAGUGGAGAAUAUUGCACAAUGGGGGAAACCCUGAUGCAGCGACGCCGCGUGAGUGAAGAAGUAUUUCGGUACGUAAAGCUCUAUCAGCAGGGAAGAAAAUGACGGUACCUGACUAAGAAGCCCCGGCUAACUACGUGCCAGCAGCCGCGGUAAUACGUAGGGGGCAAGCGUUAUCCGGAUUUACUGGGUGUAAAGGGAGCGUAGACGGCAGCGCAAGUCUGGAGUGAAAUCCCAUGGCUUAACCAUGGAACUGCUUUGGAAACUGUGCAGCUAGAGUGCAGGAGAGGUAAGCGGAAUUCCUAGUGUAGCGGUGAAAUGCGUAGAUAUUAGGAGGAACACCAGUGGCGAAGGCGGCUUACUGGACUGUAACUGACGUUGAGGCUCGAAAGCGUGGGGAGCAAACAGGAUUAGAUACCCUAGUAGUC